UAAGGGCGCACGGUGGAUGCCUUGGCACUAGAAGCCGAUGAAGGACGUUACUAACGACGAUAUGCUUUGGGGAGCUGUAAGUAAGCUUUGAUCCAGAGAUUUCCGAAUGGGGAAACCCAGCAUGAGUUAUGUCAUGUUAUCGAUAUGUGAAUACAUAGCAUAUCAGAAGGCACACCCGGAGAACUGAAACAUCUUAGUACCCGGAGGAAGAGAAAGAAAAUUCGAUUCCCUUAGUAGCGGCGAGCGAAACGGGAAGAGCCCAAACCAACAAGCUUGCUUGUUGGGGUUGUAGGACACUCUAUACGGAGUUACAAAGGACGACAUUAGACGAAUCAUCUGGAAAGAUGAAUCAAAGAAGGUAAUAAUCCUGUAGUCGAAAAUGUUGUCUCUCUUGAGUGGAUCCUGAGUACGACGGAGCACGUGAAAUUCCGUCGGAAUCUGGGAGGACCAUCUCCUAAGGCUAAAUACUCUCUAGUGACCGAUAGUGAACCAGUACCG
rnacentral:rRNA from 1 species